UUCAUGUUGCAGACUCCGAAUUGCUUCCCUGUUUGGACCUGACGCAUCUGGGUCUGUCUGUGGGUAAUGUGGCCUCUGAGAACAUUUUUAUACACUUGGCAAAGGGACCACCUUUUCAAGCUUGGACCUUGAAAUCCCAGUGAGAUCUUCCUCACAAAUGGGCUCCAAGAAUGGAAACUCCACGAAGAGUAGGACCCUGAAUGGCUGGGUCCCCAGCAUCUAGAAUGGUGCCUGGCACGUAGCAGGUGCACAACACGUAUGACUGAGUGAAUGAGUGAAGAAUUAAAGUGUAUUUCCCAGACAUCGGGAAUAUCACUCGUAGCGGGCUGAAUGGUGGCACCCAAAAAGAUGUAAUCAAGUUGAGGAUCUUGUGAUGAGAGCGUCCUGGAUUCCCCGACUGGGCCCUAAAUCCAAGGACAAGUGUCCUUAGAAGACACAGCGGAGACGGCCAUGUGCAGACAGAGGCAGUGAUUGGAGUGAUGCUGACACAACCCAAAGAUUGCCUGAAGCCACCAGAAUCUGGAAGAAGCAAGGAAGGAUCCUCACACUUAGAACCUUCGUAGGGAGCAUGGCCCCGCCAACACCUUGACUUCAGUCUGCUGGCCUCCAGAAUGGUGAGAGAAUACAUUUCUGUUGCUUUAAGCCAACCAAUUUGUGGUGAUUUGUUACAGCACACCCUAGGAUGCUAGUACACUCCCCAAAUUUACCUUCUUCUGAACUCUUCUGGCACAAAUUAACUGUGUGUUCCCUUUGAUGUUAAUUUAACCACAUAAAACAGUAUGUGAGGGCUUCCCUGGUGGCGCAGUGGUUGAGAAUCUGCCUGCCAAUGCAGGGGACAUGGGUUCAAGCCCUGGUCUGGGAAGAUCCCAAAUGCCGUGGAGCAACUAGGCCCGUGAGCCACAACUACUGAGCCUGCGCGUCUGGAGCCUGUGCUCUGCAACAAGAGAGGCCGCAACAGUGAGAGGCCCGCGCACCGCGAUGAAGAGUGGCCCCCGC